GCCUCUACGGAGGUGGGGCAUUGUGGGCGGGUCUGCGUGUUUGCGUCACGCUCCGUACGUUGCCGCGCGCCUGCGCUCCUUUCCACGUGCGAAAUCCUCAGACGCGUGUAGUUGCGGACGCGGCUCAGCUCGCCUCGAGCCAUGAGGCCAGGAUUCAGCCCCCGAGGGGGCGGCUUCGGUGGUCGAGGAGGCUUCGGUGACCGAGGCGGCCGAGGAGGAGGCCGAGGGGGCUUUGGCGGUGGGGGUCGUGGAGGCUUCGGCGGGGGCCGGGGUCGAGGCGGAGGUGGAGGCUUUAGGGGUCGAGGACGAGGAGGUGGAGGCAGAGGUGGAGGAUUCCAGGCUGGUGGUGGCCGGGGUCGUGGUGGUGGUGGUGGCCGGGGAGGAAAGAGAGGAAAUGCUUCUGGGAAGAAUGUGAUGGUGGAGCCCCAUCGGCACGAGGGUGUCUUCAUUUGCCGAGGAAAGGAAGAUGCACUGGUCACCAAGAACCUGGUUCCUGGGGAAUCUGUUUAUGGGGAGAAGAGAGUCUCUGUUGCGGAAGGAGAAGACAAAAUUGAGUACCGCGCCUGGAACCCCUUCCGAUCGAAGUUGGCAGCAGCAAUACUAGGUGGUGUGGACCAGAUCCACAUCAAGCCUGGGGCCAAGGUGCUCUACCUCGGGGCUGCCUCAGGCACCACCGUCUCUCACGUCUCUGACAUUGUAGGCCCGGAUGGCCUGGUCUAUGCAGUUGAGUUCUCUCACCGUUCUGGCCGUGACCUCAUUAACUUGGCCAAAAAGAGGACCAACAUCAUUCCUGUCAUUGAAGAUGCUCGGCAUCCACACAAAUACCGCAUGUUGAUUGCGAUGGUGGAUGUGAUCUUUGCUGAUGUGGCCCAGCCAGACCAGACCCGGAUUGUAGCCCUGAAUGCCCACACUUUCCUUCGCAAUGGAGGACACUUUAUGAUUUCCAUUAAGGCCAACUGCAUCGAUUCCACAGCCUCAGCUGAGGCUGUGUUUGCCUCUGAAGUGAAAAAGAUGCAGCAGGAGAACAUGAAGCCCCAGGAGCAGCUGACCCUAGAGCCUUACGAGAGAGACCACGCCGUGGUCGUGGGUGUGUACAGGCCACCGCCCAAGGUGAAGAAUUGAAGCCCCGCGCCGUCCAGAUUUUUCAGAUUGUUUGCUACUGUUAUUCGCGUGUUUUUCUAUUAAAAGACUGACCAGUCAAAA